GUCACUGUAGAACUGCUUGUUCCAAUUCCACAUGCUGCCUAUUUCCCCUUUUUAAUUAGGUUUUCAUUUCGGAACAAAAAAUGCUUAACUGAGACGUGUUUGGUUUCUUACUUCUCUAUUAAGUGUUUGUUUUUGUUGUGUUUGUGAUUUUCAGACAAUGAGAUGGAAUAAGCGAUGAAGAGGCAAUGUAAAAUUAAUUUGUAUGGAACUGCUUUUCCACUGAAGGAGGAGCUUGACAAGCAAAUAUUGUCUAGGUACCUGCUUUUGGAUUCGAUUAAUCUAUUGCAUAUUUUGGUAUAGUUUCUUAGAGUGUUUCGAAAUUUAAAGCGUUUCAGUAGUGAUAAUUUGACAUGAGUCCCUGUUUGUGUCGAUGGUUGCUGGUUAAUCCAUUCCUUGAUUUUCAGGCACAAAUCAUAUGCAUCUCUAUAUACGGGGCAUGGUGUAAGACCCGAGUUUUUAUUUGGUGUAUUUUGUUGAGAUGCAUGCUAUAUUUUUGUAAGAGUCGACUAUGGAUAGUUUGCUAAAUGAUAUAGACUCCAUAUACUUCUUGUUGGUCUAUGGUUUGUGACCGAUGAGCUUGAUUGCAAAUAUAUGUUAAGACUACAUGUUUCCUCUAAUUGCUAUAUGUAGUUGAUGGUGUGAGACUAAAUUUUUCCUUGGGAGGGCUGGAUGUGUAUAAAACACAAACAUUUUCUUUAAGUAAAGGAGAGAGAAAACAACAAGGAAGAAAGGAGUGAACGUGAGAGUUUUGGUGUGCAUUUGAGAGGCUGAGAAUCCAAGAGAAACAUGAGGCUUAAACCAACAAAGAAGGGACUGGGAAACUUAAGAGAAUCAGAGAACUUUGGCAGGAGAAAUUGGUAAGGGGAGCUGGCAGAAUCUUGUAUCCUGUGAUUUUUGGCAUGAUGAUUAUGAAUGAGUAUACAUAUUUGUGGUUGGAUGCGUUUCUGAUAUUGUUAUUACUAUCAUUAUGGACUUCUUUGAUGCAUUUUUUUUGCUAUACGUAUGAGUUGUAGAUGAUUUACAUGGUAAGCAUGUGUUGAUAUGUGUUUAAUAUGUGGAUGAUGGUUUGCAUGUAAAAGUUUAUUGUUGUAGUAAGACUUUAAUAAAAAUGGAAAUAGUACUCUAAGACAGCCAGAUGAGUUUGGCAAAGUAAAACUUUGGUAGAGGUCGCUGAAUUUGGUUGAAAGAUGAACUAAGUUGGAAGUAGUUUGUAGUGGUGCAAAUUCUGGAAAAUGUUUACAGAUGUUGGAGAGUUUUUCGGAAUGGUGCAAUAUAUCUUAUGAUGUAGUAACCUUUAGAUGGUUGUUCCAUUGCUUAAAAUUCCUAGAGAACUUUAUCUCAAAGGUUAGCAGAAAAAUUAAAAUGGAGAGGCAGAGUUAAUUGGCUGAACUUUUUAUGAGAAUUCAGCUUUCCGUUUGCUUGACUAGGUUCACUAUUUUGACUUAGUUAGAGUCCAGCUUGUUUUAAAUAAUUUGGGACAGUAGCUAGCACUAAAAUAGGAAGUGAUGAAGUUGGUUUUUCCUUACUGGAAUAAAGUUUACGUUGGGAGAAAUUCCUUGGUUGGAUGCAACGUUCCAGACUUUAUAGUUCGUGUAAAAGACGCAUGUUUUCCCUUGAUGUAGUGCUACUUUGAAGGUUAAUGUGAACUGCAAUUGGCUAGACCAGUGAGCUGGAAUUACUGCAGCGUUUUCCUCCUGGAUGGGACUUGAAUGAUGCUGGAACGUGACCAGAGCUGGUGUAGUUGCUACAUGAAUCAAAUGAAGCUAGUUUGGUUUGGUUUUGUUCAAUUGGUGCAAUGUUUCCUUUGCUGGACAGAAGUUUCUAGUGUUGCCACUCUUUCUUACGUCUAAAUAGAAAUAGGGUCAGUUUGGAUAAAAAAACAUAUAUAUGGCAGCAAGGAGGUCAAGUAAGCCGUUGUUUGGUGCCUUGUUUUUGGUGGAAUCAUUCUUUAUUUAGAUGAUGAAAUUAGAGAAAAUGUAAAUUAUGUUUUAGUGGGGUCAAGUGUUAGACUUUUGAAAGGUUUUCUUUAAAACAAAGCUUGCUAGACUUGAUUCAUGAGCCCAAACAGAAGCAACUUUUGGAGACCAUGCAGUGCAGCCUUUUUUGUUUGCUGCAGGAUAACCGUGAGCUGAAGGAGGGUUGGACCAUUUUUCUCACGUCAAGUUGACCAAGAGGAAGAUGUUAGAGCUACUAACAUUGAGAUACAGAGAUCAGAACAGCUACUGGAAUUUUUAGUUGGCACAAAACAACUCUCCCUUUUCUUUGAUCAAAACUAGUUUAACUACUAGACUCUUGUAGAGUUGGGGAGGUGCUUUCUAUCCAGAAUUUUCAUUGAGGCUUAAAACUAGAUUCUAAGAACUCUAGUUCUUUAGAAGAGUUAAAACAUGAUGAAGUUCAAGCUUUCUUGAACUGGACCGUUAGUUGGAAGGCACAAGGGUCUCUAGAAGGAACUGAACUUCGAGUAGGUGUUGUCUUUAGCUUAAGUGCUGCAGUAUUUUUGUUUCUUGAUUAUUUGAGAGCUGGAACAUGACUUUUAGGUGGUCUAUGGUGCAAAGAACCAAGUACCUUGAUCACAUGAGUUGAGCUAGUGGUGGAAUUUUCCUUUGUUGGCUGGUGCAGCUAUACUAGGAGGAAGUUCAUGCUGGUUUUCCAUGGUUGGUUCACGUUCUUGUCUUUCCUUUCUCUGGUUUUGUGGUGCAGCAUCAGAUUUGAGUUAUUUAAGCUAUGGUAAGACCUGUUUGGAGAAGAUUUUGAUCAUUAGAAAUAUGUGUCAUGGUAUAAGCAAAUUCACGUUAGUUUGGGUAGAUAGUGCAAUAGAAUUUUUUUGCAAUGUUUAAGUCAUAGAUAGAAUUGGCUAUAUUAUUCUAUUUGUUCACGUGAAAGUGGCAGAUUGUUGAUGCACUUUUUAUAUUUUCUUCCUAUAAAAUAAUAUGGCUGAAUGGUAAAUUCCUAUAGUCACUUUUUAUAUUUCAAUGGCCAUGACUAUACUUGUUUUAUGGUUCAUUAGAACAAAAUCUUAUACUUGUAGUCAUGGAGAUAAUUGUAAUCUUAUAUUUAAAUAUUCGAUACCGUUGACAUCUGCAAUGGUGGGAAAAAUGUUUUACAUGAUUUUAUAUAGCACCGAAAUGAAAUAGAUAUAUAGCUUAGUUUAUGAACGAAACACAACUUUUUUAAAAUAGAAAAACAUAUUUGACUCGUUUAAGAUUUGACGAGCAUUAUAAUUGAAAUGCUAUAGUUGAAGAUAAAUGCAUGGCAUGUAUGAACUAGGCUUAAUAUUUUUGAGCGACGUUAUUUCUAAUGAUUUGAGGCCUUUGAUUAUGAGUUUGGUAUCCAUGAUAAUAAGAAAUGCAAUCUUAACUGUUGCUGUUUUUUAUUAAUUGAGAUACGACGUGUUAUUGUUUUACUUCUGUCUCUCAAUAUCAUUGAUGUUAUUUGCAUAUCCCCAUGACUUGGAAACUUUUAGGCCUUCCGACAUGCAUCAUGGGAUGGAAGUUCGCCUUGGUCUAUCUUAGGGACCAAUGUACCCAAGUAUUAUAUAAUUAAAUUUUGAGUUUUACACUGGUACCCAAAAGUUGGCUUUUAUGGUAAAAUCAUCUUGUUAUUCUUUAAGAUGGAAGUGUCCAAGGAACCUACAUAUGCAAUCGUGGACUUAUGUUUUCCUUUGGGUUGGAUGCUAGAAAUGUUAUGGACUAUAUUAAACACAACAUGCCUUUUAGAGUAAAUGCAGAAUUUAUGCAUGAGGCGUUUGAGUUGAGUAUCCUUCUUUAAUUCUAAGUGUUAGUAACUUCUAGAAACUUGACUACAAUUUAGUAUUAUAUAUGUAGGUUAACGUAAUAUUUGGAUUGAAUAUAUAGUUUUAGGUUUAAUUGCUUCUUUUGUUCCGAGUUUGGUUGAAGUGUGUCAAAUUCGUCCCCCUUUUAGAAAAAUGUCAAUUUCGUCCUCAUAUAGAAAAAAUUUGUGUCAAUCAAGUCAUCUUCGUUAAAAAUCAUUGCUUUCAAAACUCACUUUAUCCACUACAAAAUCAGGGAUCAGACCCAUGAAGUGGUUAUUAUUCAAAACUCACUUUAAGUUUUUAACACCAUUAGUUUGUUUUUAACGGAGAUGACUUGAUUGACACAAAUUUUUUCUAUAUGAGGACGAAAUUGACAUUUUUCUAAAAAGGGGACGGAUUUGACACACUUCAACCAAACUGGGGACAAAAUAAGCAAUUAAACCUAUAGUUUUAUGUACAAAUAAUUUCUUAAAUAUUAUUGGACAAUUUAAUGUAUGAAAUGAUUUCCAUUUUAUUUGUUCAAUUGAAUUUGUUGAUUUCCAGGUUAAUUGAUUGGAUGAGAUCAUAAAACAGGAAAUAUCAUUUUAUAGAAAAAGACAACUUUUCUAUGACAUACAUGACAUUGCCUACCAUAGUAUGUAAAAUGUAAGCACGUAUAAAUCUUAUAAAAAAAAAACAAGUUAUAUGGCGUACAUGACAAUGAAUGUCAUAAUAGGUUAAUUGUGAAUAACACGUAUUAUGAACGAAUACCUUACCUAUCAUAAUACAUAGGAGAUAUUAUGAUAGGUGAAAAUAACUGUCAUAGAACUUGAGAUAUUAUGACAGGUAAACCGAAUUAUGUCAUGGUAAAUUAGAUAUAUUAUGAAUGAUAACUAAAAGUAUGUCUUAAUAAACGAGAUAUAUUAUGACAGGUGAUGGGAAGUACAUUAUAAUAUGUUUAACCUAUUAUGACGUACUUUUUCACUAUGCCAUAGAAUGAGUAAACCUUUUAUGAUUGUCAAAACUAUGAUAACAGAACACCUGUCAUAAUAUGUUUAUUUUACUUGUCAUAAUAUGUCUUUUUUGCAUUAGUUAUUUACUUAUUAUGACAUCCUUUUUUUGUCGGUUGCUCUUUAUUCUUUUUGUUUAUCAGAAUCACACUUUUCUACCUCACCUACAUGCAUUGUCAAAUUAUCUAGGAGGAUCUUGAUUCAACUCAUGUUGAAUAUAUCCUUCUCCCUAGUCAGUAGUCACUACUUAAAUAGUGUGUAAAUUGCAAUGUGUAAAUUUCCCCUUAUUGAACAAUGUGAACCUUGUUAACUCUAAACUACAAAGUAAAUUAAUUUGAACCUGUAAACGUUUGAAAUGUAUUAGAAGUUGCCUCUGUUAGCUCUAAUCCCAUAGGUGAUGGAUAAGAGCCUUCGAAAGUUAAUUGGACUGAAAAAAUUACCAAUUGUAUAAAAGUUCCCUAAAGCUUAUUAUUUCCUUUUAUCUUUAAAGGUGCAAUAGCUAAUUUAUAUGGUCAUUUUGUGUCUCUCUUCCUUCAAAAUUUUGCUUUUUAGUUAAUUUUUUUCUUAUCCUUCAUCUUGAUACCCUUUAUUUGCCUUUCACUCCUAUCUUUCUUAUAAUGUAUACAAUAAAGGAGUAUAAAAAUAUAUUUUGAUUAGUAAGAUAAAAUAGAAUAUGAUAAUAUGAAGGGUUUUUUAGGAGAUUCACUCGAUAAAUGCAAUACCAAUGAAACACAAAUUCAAUCUGCAUAAGGAAUUGAUACCACCUUAACCUAAAAUGUUAACACAAUGGGUUUUCCUUCCUUAGAAGUUUAUGGAAAUCUCUUUAGCUAGGUUGGGGGAAAUUAGAAGGAAAGCCAUGGUGAUGGUUGAAGGUUGGGGUGGUUGCGGAAAUAUGGUGGAAAAGAGACUAAGGCUCUUGGUCAUGUGAUGUUUAUGGAAGAUAGAGGUGGUGUUUAGUGAUGGUCUAAGAGAGGUUGGGCAAACUCUUGGAGGAAGGAGGCUAGAGGAGGUCACUUGGGUUGCUCUAGCCUAGGGUGACCUUAAUAGAGUAGUAUGACACAAAAAUGACAGCAUAACUUUACUCUUAAUCAAAGGUGAUUACAAGAGAGGAGACACUUCUAUAUAUAGGCAAGGGUGUCAUCUAAAAAUCCUAAAAGCAUGACCCCUCACUUUUGUACUCAUUGGCCAAAAAUGAGGCCUUCUAAGGAGUGGACAAGUGUCCACAAAUCCCCUCCAAUAAGGGGAGGACAUGUGGGCACUUAUAAAGCACAAUCCUCCCUAUUCCUAGAGUUCCAUGUGAUCACUACUAAAGUUAAAUCCUCUCCAAUGGAAACAUUACACAUGGCGCAUACUUUCCACAUGGUUUGAAUGUCUAGCUUAAGGAAAAUUUUUAUACUGAUUAGGCCUUAAAUACAAGCCUUAAACAAACCUACACUACUUGGCCAAAAUACAUGACCUAAAUAAAACUUAUACUACUCCAAGCUAUGCUCCAUGAUGGCCCCAAAGGUGGUCCAAAAGGUAGAGUUUAGACCAUCUUCAAGGAUGACUUCCACUCUUCUUGAAAGUGCUUGACCAUGGCUAAGAGAUUUGUCAUCACAAGUUGUCCAACUUUCUUAUCAUUAAUUAAUGUAAGAUUUAAACUUACUUGAACUUUCAACAAUCCUCCCUUAAAUAGUGAGUUCUUUUCACAUAGGUACACUCCACCUUGAUUGGAAGUCUUCCACAUUCCCAACUAGAGUACCUGAAUGGUGAACUUUUUAUAUUCCCAUUUUAUUAUAGCAAUAGGACACUUUUGUUUCAAAGGCUUAUCACGGAGGGACUUUCAAUUCAAGAAAUUCACAAAUUCAAGAUUUUUCAUUGAGUCAACCCAUGAGACUCGAAAUAAUGUGUUUGAGUUUACUUCUUUAUAAGUUAUUCAACUUUUUCAUUUUUACCCAAUAUGAGAGUUAGAUUCACAUCUAGAUUUUCAACAUAAAUUAAAUAUAGUAUUUUAAAAGUGGACAAGAUAGAAUGGUGUUAAGAAUAAUCCAAGUGAGUCUCAUAUUAGAUAGAAAUGACUAAGUUAAACAUCAUAUAAGAAGAAUACUUAUAAGUUCAUUGACUCAAAAUUUUGGGUUAAAAAUGAUGUCAAUAACUUAUGUGGAUUGGUAUUCAAAUGACAUAUAUCUAAUCUCCUCCAAAUGACCCUUAAAUAAGAAAAAAACAAACCUCAAAUAGUUACAAUUUAUUUGUACCACAUACUUCAUAAUGGUAGAUGCAAAUAUCUUCACUGUGGUUUCCACCGUAGUGUUCUGUAACUUUGUCCUCCAUGCCGUUCAUAUACAAAGUCCAGCUGAGGGAAGGUGUGAUAAAGUAUGUCUUCAACACAUUUCCAGUACCAUUUCCUCCAUGGCUUAUGGAAUAAGAGAGGAAAAACAAUAAUUCCAACCCCAGAAGUGAAUCCUACCUCAAAUGAUAUAAAAUUCCAAUGAAAGGAAAUUUUCACGCCAGCAUUGGAAUUUGAUACUUGAGAUGGUGUCACUUGCAUUCCAUCACCAACACUACAAUUUUCAGACAAUGGAGGUCCACACAGCCCAUCAUUGUCACUGAAUGAGUCUGCUGGAAAUGACUGAAUUUGGGUACCUGUUGGGAUUCUCCCCAUGAGAUGAUUGCAUGAUAGGUUCAAGAAUGAGAGAAAAGAUAAAUGUGCUAAUUGUGUUGGGAUUGACCCGCUCAAGUUGUUGUUUGACAGGUCUAAGGAUUCAAGAUCUUUCAUGUUUCCAAAAGAUGAAGGAAUUGAGCCAGAAAAGGUGUUGUGUGAUAGAUUAAGUAUGUGGACAGCGUUUAGUUGUCCAAGUCCUCCUGGGAUUAGUCCCUCAAAUUUGUUGCAUGACAAGUCAAUGACGGUGAAGAUGAUUAGGAUCUUUGCUAAAUACAUUCGUUGCCCUUUGCUUGUAACUGUAACUCUGUCAUUAUAAAAAACACUAUAAAUUUCUAGUACUUCAGAUUGAAGAUGACCUAGCUUUCUCUGAUCACUCUCAUCAGCUAUCAUUGCUUUCCAACUUCCAAAGAAUGCCAAUGGAAUUCUACCACCUAAGUUGUUUGAUGCAAGGUCAAAAAUUUGAAGCUGUGGCCAUGCUACCUCGGUUCUUUCACAUUUGAGGGAGCCAUUUAUUUUGUUGGAUCUCAAAAUAAGAACACGUAGGGUGGUCAUGUUCUCGAACCAACAAGGGAACUCAUCAUGUAUCUGGUUGUCUCCAAUGUCUAAAAUCUCCAUCAUGGCGCAAUUAGCCAGAUAUUUUGGAAGCUUUCCAUGCAGAGAAUUACCAUUUAGGUGUAGUGUUCUUAGCGAACACAAGCCAGGACAUGUGUCAAUAGUGCCACUGAGUUUGUUCCUCCCUAAAUCAAGUAUGCUAAUAGUUCCAUUCAUAGCAAUCAAGCAUUUUGGAAUUGUGCCAGUCAGAGAAUUAUUGGAGAGGUCAAGCACACGAAGAUUAGGAGCAUCGCAUAUUGAUUCUGGGAUGCUCCCUUGGAUAUUAUUGUUUGCAAUAGAGAGAAACCUAGCUUUUCUGAGGUAUUUGUCAAUUUUAGGUGGCAAAAAAGAGCUGAAAUUGUUGAAAAAUCUACAUAGUCAAACGAUUGGGGUAGUGUUGGAAGAGGUCCGUGGAGAAGAUUGGAAUGAAAAUCAAGGAUGGACAAAAGAGACAAAUUGUUGAACAUAGGUUCCUCCCAGUCAGUCAGGUAGUUAUACGAAAGAUCAAUAUUUUCUAGAGCAUUGUUGUUCCAAAGCCAGUGUGGUAUAGUGCCAGCAAUAUGGUUAUUUGACAGGUCAAUAGAUCUUAGUGAAUGAUUUUUCAAAAAUUGUGGAAAUUUUGUCAACUUGCAAGAAGCUAAGCCUAUGACUUUCAAACUAGGAAAUAAUGGAGACCGAGUGAGUGGAGUGGAUAUAUCAUUUAUUGUUAAGGUGUUGUUUGAAAUAUCAAGUGUGGUAAGGUUUUCCAGCUUGCCAAGCAAAUUGACCUCUAUGGUGCCACUGAAAUUAUUGGAAGACAAUGAAAGAGAUUCAAGAUUCGUUAGUUCAAACAAAGAUAUGGGAAAGGACCCUUCUAAAAGAUUGCCACUCAAAUCAAGCGAUUGUAAACUAUACGAGGUGUUUGUGAAAUCGAGUUGACCUUCAAAUUUAUUGUUGGAAAGAUGAAGAUAAUGCAAUGAUGGUAGUGUGAAGAUAGAUGAUGGAAUGGUUCCAGUGAAGAAAUUACUGUCUAAGUUUAGGUACUCUAAAUUUACGAGAUCUUGAAAGUUAACAAGCGAUAUUGUACCUGUGAAAGUGUUAUCAGUGAGGUAUAUGCUUUGGAGUUGUUUGCACAAAUGUAAAGCUGGAACUGAGCCAGAAAGGCGAUUCCCUGACAGAUCUAGAUCAACAAGUUGGGUGAGAUUUUGUAAUGAAUUGGGCAGUGUUCCACUAAAUUGGGAUGAAGAAAGAUCCAGAUUAGACAAGUUUCUUAAAUUUCCAAUUGAAUUUGGAAGUGGACCAGAGAAAUUUGUGUCACUUACGAACAUGGUGUGGAGAGAUCCAUUUGGCAGGAAGUGAUGAAAGAAACCAGAAAGAUCAUAAUUAUCUGAUAUAUCAAUAUAGGACAAUGUUGGUAUUUGAAAGAUCUUUUCUGGAAAAAUUCCAAUCAACUCGCAAUCAGUAAGCUUCAAGGAGGUAAGACUUUUGAAAUGGGCAAAUGUUUCUGGAACAGGACAUGCCAAGUUGUUAUAACUAAGAUCAAGGACUGAUAGAUUCUCAAGUCUUGCAAGGGAAGGAAGAAGUGGCCCUGAGAGAUAACAGCUAAGCAUGCUCAAUUCUUCAAGAGUUGGAAUUUGCAACAAAGCAGUCUGCCAUUCUUGUGCUCCACCUGAUACACUCACACCAUCUAGAUAAAGUUGUCUAAGUUUUGUGAGGUUUCUGACAAGUUCAAGGAGACUUGGGUUCUCAAGUUUCACUUCUUGUGCCUGUGAUGAAAGAUCAAGAGUGACCAAUUUUGUGAGUUGAGAAAUCUGUAUUGGAACUUGCCCCACAAAGCCAGCAUAUGCCAAGCUCAGAGUAGUUAAAUUCUCUAACUUGUUGAAUGCAGAUGGAAUCUCCGAGUUGAAGUUGUUGUAAGACAAAUUCAAAUUCUGGAGGUGGCGUAGACUGAAAAGGCUGCUUGAAUUGUCAAACCCACCAGCGAUUGAUUCUUCACUCAGGUCAAGACCAGUAACACGCCCCUCCUCGUCACAUGUUACACCUCUCCACUCACAACAAGCACUUCUUUGAUUCCAUGAGCUUAGUUUGUUGGAACUCUCAGGUUCAAAUGUAAGAUUGUUCUUCAAUUGCAAGAGCUGUGAUCUUUCAUCCUUAUUGCAUUGGUCAGAGACGAUGUGAACAACGAGACACGUCCAACAGUAGACAGUGAAGUAAAACCAUGAAACUAGUGAAAUUUUCAUUUGUUUCUAUGGUUGAAGAGGUUAGAAAAGCUGGUAGGGUGGGAAUGAAUGGUUAGUAGAUUCUAAAUGAGAACAAUCCCCUCAGCCAUAGAGAUUUCAAGUGAAUUAGAUGCUACCUCAGCUACAGAAUGUGUAAUUAUUAUAUAUGUUAACUAUCUUUUUAGCCGUGCAAUACACUGAACUUUUUAUAGUCAAUACCCGUCAAUACCCGGAACACUUUUGUAGUCAAUAUCCGUGUCAUACCCGAAACCUUUUAUAGUCAAUAUUCGUGUCAUACCCGAAACCUUUUAUAGUCAAUAUCCGAAUCAUACGGAAAUGUGUUGUUUCUUUAAUUCUACAAUUUUUUUAGUGGAAAGAUGUAAAAUUGUAGAAAUUUUAAUAAUUUAAAAAAUAUAUAAAUUUAAUUAAAUUUUUUAAGUUGAAAGAUAAAAUUCACUAGAAUAAAAUACUAUUAGAGAUAGAUAUUAAUUUAUAGUUUGAAAUAUUUUUAUAUUAUAUUUUCUUUAAAUAUAUCAGGUUUACAAAUAUAUAGGAGGAUAAGGUUUAAGGUCAGAAUUUUAAUAAAACCAAUGACAAGUCAGAGAGAGAAGAAAGAAAGUUUUAGAAGUUAAGUUUUAAGGGGAAGAAGGAAAAAGUGAAAAGUAAGAAGUAAGGGGAGUUUACAUUUUUUUUUUCUUUAUUUAUCCUUUUGCAUGUUUGUGUUUUGAUUCGGCAGAAGGUAGUGAAGGAUAGCGUACAGUUGUAACUUGUACCGCAGGUGUAUUUUGCUAAUUGUGGAGGAGUCGUCGCAGGUGAGGAAGAAAAAAAAACUCAUGCCAUCGGAUGAAGGUGUUCAAAACACGGUUUCUAUAUGAAAACAAUUAGUGAAUACAAAAGAAAACCAUACCCAGGGCAUCUAAACAACAUGAACUUGUGUUAAAUAAAAGAAAACUUACCUUUAGUGUUGGUCUCACAAGUCGCUACAAGUGUUGGGAGGCUUGAGAAGAGAAAGUGUGAAGAAAUAGUGAAAGGGAAAUACUCUCGCACUAUUUUCUUUAAUUCUUUAAACAACAGAUGACAUCAGAUUGUAUAAGGCUUGACAUCAUAUACAUUUUAGACAUUGAAUUCUGUGAGAGAUCUUAUGUUUCAUGAGUACGUGAAAAUGACUUUCACAUUGCAUUUUUUAAUGUUUUAAACCCAUUAGGUGUCACCCCUAACAAAAUCUAUUUUUAAAGAUCAUAUGACGUUAGUAUCCCUCCAAAUAGAUGUCUAAAGGUGAUAUGACGUUGAUCCCCUUUAGUGUCGGACGCCAAACUUUUAUUUUAUUUAUAAAAAAAGCCACCAAUAAUUUUUAACGUUAAUUUUUCUCUUGGUUGAUGUUGAAUGAGAGAUGUUAUACGUCCAUUUUGCAAUACUAUUUAUAUACAAAGUUUGAGUACUUUUUUUUUUUUUAAAAUAAACUUUGUAUAAUAUGAAUGUUACUUCAUCAAUUUUAUUUAUAUAUCAUUAGACGAUAUAUGAUGGCAACCUCCUUGGCUAGGUUGAGUCAAAGCUAGGAGAUGUGCAUGUAUGGGUGUUUCCUUGGAUGAAUGGUGUGGAAAUGUGAUGGUAAAUUGUCCAAGGAUGAUGAGAUAAGGUAUGGAUGGGGUAGAAGCUCAAAUCCUCUGGGAUAUAUGGUGGUGGUGGUGUAGUGUUUGGUGGCUUCAAGAGAGGUUGCUAUCAAUAUAGCAUGAUUGCAUUUAGCAAGACUCUCAUUAGUACAUUGACACGUUCAAUACUACACCGACUUAUGUACUAGCACGUUUACUAUGGCUUUUUCAUAAACGGGUUAUUCAUAACUCAUUUUCAUUUAACGAUGUGAUUUUCAUAAAGAUAACACUUUGUCAAGUAUCUUUUUGCUUAACGUUGCUCAUUAGUCCUCAAGACAUGUGAAGUUGCUAAACGAUCUUGACCUUUCUCUUAGCAAACUUUCUCUCUUCUUAUAGUACUAAUUAGUUGUGUUAUAGCUAAUGUUUUGUAUUAUAUCUCUUCUCAACAGUGAAGUUUCGUCCUUUAAACAAUAUAUGUUGUGAGUCUUACUUGAUCGACUCUUAUGCUCAGUGUUUUGCUAGUUUUACUUGGAUAUUCUUGUACCUGUUGUUUUGUGAUUGUAUGUUUUUAGACAUAUUAUGUGUAGACUUUUUCUAUGCUCCUAUAUUAUUUCAGCUUAUCUCUUUUGUCAUUUAACACCUAAUUUAGCUUUAGAAGUAACCUUGAUUAGGCUUAUUGCAUAAAUGCUUCUAAUCUAGAUGUUUUUCUUUGUGACAUAUUUUUUGUGCUAGGUGGGUAACUAGAUGGUUUUAGUAUUUAGAGGUUUUAUCUUUUAUAAUCAUAAGAGACUGUAAUUUAUUCUCUAUGUCUAUGCUCUUUUAUAUUUUUAGAAAUUUGAUUACCCAA
rnacentral:lncRNA from 1 species